rnacentral:rRNA from 1 species
UACGUAGGGGGCAAGCGUUGUCCGGAAUUAUUGGGCGUAAAGAGCUCGUAGGCGGUGUGUCGCGUCGGCCGUGAAAACCUGCAGCUUAACUGUGGGCUUGCGGUCGAUACGGGCAUCACUGGAGUUCGGCAGGGGAGACUGGAAUUCCUGGUGUAGCGGUGAAAUGCGCAGAUAUCAGGAGGAACACCGAUGGCGAAGGCAGGUCUCUGGGCAUUAACUGACGCUGAGGAGCGAAAGCAUGGGGAGCGAACAGG